rnacentral:rRNA from 1 species
ACGAACGCUGGCGGCGUGCUUCACACAUGCAAGUCGAACGGAAAGGCCUUGCUUUUGUGGGGUGCUCGAGUGGCGAACGGGUGAGUAACACGUGAGUAACCUGCCCUUGACUUUGGGAUAACUUCAGGAAACUGGGGCUAAUACCGGAUAGGAGCUCCUGCUGCAUGGUGGGGGUUGGAAAGUUUCGGCGGUUGGGGAUGGACUCGCGGCUUAUCAGCUUGUUGGUGGGGUAGUGGCUUACCAAGGCUUUGACGGGUAGCCGGCCUGAGAGGGUGACCGGCCACAUUGGGACUGAGAUACGGCCCAGACUCCUACGGGAGGCAGCAGUGGGGAAUAUUGCACAAUGGGCGGAAGCCUGAUGCAGCAACGCCGCGUGCGGGAUGACGGCCUUCGGGUUGUAAACCGCUUUCGCCUGUGACGAAGCGUGAGUGACGGUAAUGGGUAAAGAAGCACCGGCUAACUACGUG